GACGAACGCUGGCGGCGUGCUUAACACAUGCAAGUCGAACGGAAAGGCCCUGCUUUUGUGGGGUGCUCGAGUGGCGAACGGGUGAGUAACACGUGAGUAACCUGCCCUUGACUUUGGGAUAACUUCAGGAAACUGGGGCUAAUACCGGAUAGGAGCUCCUGCUGCAUGGUGGGGGUUGGAAAGUUUCGGCGGUUGGGGAUGGACUCGCGGCUUAUCAGCUUGUUGGUGGGGUAGUGGCGUACCAAGGCUUUGACGGGUAGCCGGCCUGAGAGGGUGACCGGCCACAUUGGGCCUGAGAUACGGCCCGGACUCCUACGGGAGGCAGCAGUGGGGAAUAUUGCACAAUGGGCGGAAGCCUGAUGCAGCAACGCCGCGUGCGGGAUGACGGCCUUCGGGUUGUAAACCGCUUUCGCCUGUGACGAAGCGUGAGUGACGGUAUGGGUAAAGAAGCACCGGCUAACUACGUG
rnacentral:rRNA from 1 species